rnacentral:lncRNA from 1 species
GGAGUUAUUGCCGUUAUAAACAUAGUUUAGGUAUUUUUUGUAAUAACUUAAAUAGAUAGAGGGAAAUUGUUUAGCAAAAUGUUCAUCAAAUCGAAAUUGUUAAUUGAAAGAGUUAAUUCCCUUGCAAGAUGAUUUUUGUCCAUUUCUGCAGAAACCAUGGUGGAUAGAGAGAAAUAGUGAAUAAUGAAAUGUUCAUCAUGAUAAUUGAAUAGACAUUAUGGAUUCAAAGUAAAUGUAGAAUACGGUGCACACAGGACUUGGCUUAGUAUAUAUGCAUGCAUUUGUUCAGUUAACUUUCUCAACAUUAAAAUCACCAGGACUGGUUUCAAAUGACUAAUGAUUUGCACCUCUGUCUUUUGAAACAGACUGACUACAGGACUGUUACAUUAGAUAUUUUUAAAGUUCUAUUUUUCUUUGAUUUGCACAGACAUGACAGUAUAUCCUUGUGGUGCCAUACUUCAUAAAUUUAAUUGUAAAUAAAAGCUCUAUCUGUAACAUGAUAGUAACUCCUUGUAAAUAAAAGCAAUUUCCUGAUAAGAACAUGAUACCAUUUCGUUGUAAAUGAUACUUAUGCCUGUAAAUGUAUGAUAAAAUGUAUGGCAGAAUUUUGUUCUGUUUUACGGAUCAAAGGUUUCCCCACAAAGUGGUCAGUAGCUUAAGGAUUUUCUCAGCUUCAUUGGUGCAGGAAAAGUGGUACAUUCCACUAGUACUUUUUUAAACAGAUUUUCACACAAAGAUAUAUGAAAUGUAUUGAUGGUAGUAAUUUUUCACUUUAAGAGGAUGAGACAAAACCAUAUAAUAUAUAUCUGUGCUAACAGUGCUUAAAUUAUUUCAUAAAAAAAAAAGUAUUGGCUUAAAGUUGUAUAAUACCAUAUGCUGUUACAUAAAACCAUAGGGUCAUUAGAUAUAACCACAAUGAUUAUGUACAAUGUGUCUAUGUUUGACAAUCACACUGUCAAAUAUCCAGUUUUCUACCUUGUCAUACCUCCCAUAAAAAUUAAUUGGAUGGCAAUCAUAUAAAUAGACAUUAAUCUGUAGGACUGCAGUUAUAUUUAAUCAGCAUUAUCACUGUUAAUCAGAGUCAUUAGAUUAUUGUUCAUGUGAAUUUUAUCAAUAUGUAAGCUAUGAAGAUUUUUACCCCUAAAAUAUACUAACAUAUAUGAUCGAUCAAUUGAUUGGUAUAUGCUUAAUGUCCAGUGUUAAUAUAUGACUUGAAAAAAAUGUUUAACAUAACAACCA